rnacentral:rRNA from 1 species
CGGGACGGGUGAGUAAUGUCUGGGAAACUGCCCGAUGGAGGGGGAUAACUACUGGAAACGGUAGCUAAUACCGCAUAACGUCGCAAGACCAAAGAGGGGACCUUCGGGCCUCUUGCCAUCGGAUGUGCCCAGAUGGGAUUAGCUAGUAGGUGGGGUAAUGGCUCACCUAGGCGACGAUCCCUAGCUGGUCUGAGAGGAUGAUCAGCCACACUGGGACUGAGACACGGCCCAG